CCCGUCUCACCCAUUUCUAAAGAAGAUUUCUUAACGCUGUCACCAGUGACUCCUAAACAUCACCACUAAAGGAUCUCUUUAUCAGCCCAAUCCCACAGGCUUCUGAAGGAGGAAGUCAUACCAGCAACGGGAAAGAACCCUAACACAUGGAGAGGGAAGUGAUGAAAUUAAAAAAAAAAAAAAUUCAGCUGUUGGGUAAUGCUGCUACAGGGAUUCCUGGCAACAAUUAAGCACAGCUACAGAAGUCAGACUCACUGCAGGCUUGAGGAAGAGGGAUAGCUCACUAUUCGCUCUGAUGGUAAUAAUUAUAUGCUAUGGAAAUAGUAGAAUUAAUACAUAGGCAUGAAUUCUUCAUCUUAGUGACGUUCCUAUCCGGCCUAGUUCCUUCCAGAUUUCUGUUAACGUGAUAUACACUCCUUACUUAGAACGAGGCCAAAAUGUUGGUCUGUGUUUGGCAUAGGCUGAAGAAUUGUAGCUUCAGUCUAGUCUACGUGGUGAAGAAUGAACUUGGCAACAGGUUAACUCAUGAGCUUUGAAACUCAUAUGCUUUUCAUUCA
ensembl:lncRNA